rnacentral:rRNA from 1 species
AAGGUAUGCAAGUCGAACGAUCCCUUUGAAUUACUUGAAACUUCGGUUGAUUGUAUUUCUUUUUGGGAUAGUGGCAAACGGGUGAGUAACACGUGGAUAACCUGCCUUAAAGUCAUGAACAGCUCAUCGAAAGAUGGGAUAAUACAUGAUAGUCUUACAAUUUCUAUCCGACUUUGUAAGUAAAGCUCCGGCGCUUUAAGAGGGGUCCGCGUCCUAUCAGCUUGUUGGUGAGGUAAUAGCUCACCAAGGCUAAGACGGGUAGCUGGCGUGAGAGCGCGGUCAGCCACCAUGGAACUGAGACACGGUCCAUACUCCUACGGGAGGCAGCAAUUAGGAAUCUUGCGCAAUGGGGGCAACCCUGACGCAGCGACACAGCGUGGAGGACGAAGGUCUUCGGAUUGUAAACUCCUUUUAUAUGGGAAGAAUAGAUGACGGUACCAUAUGAAUAAGCACCUGCUAACUACGUGCCAGAAGCAUCGGUGAUACGUAGGGUGCGAACGUUAUCCGGAUUUAUUGGGCGUAUAGAGAUGCGUAGGCGUUUCUGUAAGUCUGAAGUUAAAGCCCACGGCUUAACCGUGGAAAAGCUUUGGAAACUGCAGAAAUUGAGACAGGAAGAGGCGAAUGGAAUUCCCAGUGGAGCGGUGAAAUGCGUUGAUAUUGGGAGGAACAUCAGUGGCGAAGGCGAUUCGCUGGUCCUUGUCUGACGCUGAGGCUCGAAAGCGUGGGUAGCAAAACGGAUUAGAUACCCGUGUAGUCCACGCCGUAAACUAUGGAUGCUAGGUGUUCGGUACAACCGUUUUUUCCUUCGGGAAAAGAUGGAAGUAUUGAGUGCCGCAGCUAACGCGUUAAGCAUCCCGCCUGGGAAGUACGGNCGCA